ACUAAAGAAAAUUUUAUUACUUUGGAAUCAAAGGUUAAAGGACCAUCAAAGAGCUACAGAGAGGCAAACACAGCCAACAAAUAAACCUACAAUGACAAUUUUCAGCUGGUUGGAAACUUGAUUUGCUUUGCUUCUACAACCUCCCAAGAUGAUGAAAAAUUUUCCCAAUUAAUCACUUGCAUCGGCCAAGAAACGCCUUCUAAACUUGAAUUUCCUUGGCGACCGAUUUGUAUCAGCAUCAGGCGAGGAGUGAAUUGGUGCAAUUCAUUAAUGGAUUCAUGAAGCAGAAAUACCGUGAUUCUUGGGAGGACAUAUCCAGGCCAGAAGAAACCUUUUGCUUCCUUGCGUUUCUCCGUCUACUACUACCGCCGACUCCUCCUUGAAUUCCUCCUCUUGCCCCCUUCCCCUUCUUGAAAUCUUGUUGGUGUUCCACCCCUAAACGAAAUUUCUGAAAGUGAGAGCCAAGUCCAAGAGAAUCCUCCACCUUAAACUCCCCAAAGUUCAUCUCAGAGAAAUAACGCUUGUCGUUGCAGCUGGAACUUUCACUGUAAGAUGCAUAGGAAGAAGAAGUAGAAGAAUACAUAGUAGCGGUGGCUGUAGCAGUAGCGGUAGCGGCAGCUUGACAGCUUCCUCCAAAUGACUC
rnacentral:misc_RNA from 1 species